AUAGGAUUUCAUGCUUCAAACGACGGACUAUUAAAAUGGAAGUAAGCAACACUGAGAUUGCUAUGAAAACAUCAUUAUAGACAUCCAACCACAGCAAGCAAAAUUAAGUCUCUCACAUGGAACUGUUAUCUUACAAGGCAACAACUCGAUGCUGAAACCUUAGUACAUGAUGAUCUGCAUAAGGUACCAAUCUAAAGUCACAUCCUCAAUGCACUUGAAUUUCAAUAAAGAGCUCAGAGGACUGUGAUGUUAUAUCAGGAGAUUCUUAUAGAAUGCAGGAAUUACAAACAGAGUAGACACAGAUUUGGGAAAGGAGUGGAGGAUCUUGGAGGACUUGGUGAUCAAAUGACACUGAACAAAAAUCGUCUGCUUUUGGGAGCUUGAGGAAAAUGACAUUAAUACAAAGUACUCUGCAGAAAUGAAAAUCAGAAAUUCAUUGGCACUGUGGAGAGGCAAGACACUCAUCUGAAUCCAGACUUCUCACAAUAAUGAGAAAACAUACACAGCACUGGGGAGGUACAAAAGCAUUCCACUUUACCAUCCACUGAUCACAGGUGUACAAGUCUUAGGAAAUGUCCUUCAAGUAACAGGAGAUGAGAAAUACUACCCCUCACUAGGGAAGCUUCUAUGUAUAGCAAAUGCAGACCGUCACAGAAAAAACAGAACUGAAAGCAAUACAGAGAUCAGUGGAUUUUGGGGAGCCCAGAGCCACUGUAUACAUCUACAUCACAGCUCUGGAAUCUGUUGCUCAUGGACUAUCAAGGAAGAUGAGGCAGAAAGACCUUGAGAGCCAAUAGACCUGAAGUCUGUUGUAAAAAUAUUCUCUUCUAGAAACAGCUGCAUUAAAAAGGUCCAUUAAAGCAGCAAUCUCAAUAAACUUGCUACACUAAAUGGAAUAAGAAAUCA